CAGCUGCUGAUCCGAGUGCAGGAGGCCCUUGAAGCGGACGAGGUUCUUGUAGUAGUUGUUGUCGAAGGCGGUGGGGGUCUGCAGGUCCAGCGGCGCCAGGUUGUUGUCCCCGGAGCCGGAGGCGCUAGGGCAGUUCGCCUGCCUCUUCUUGGCGAAAGAGGCGUCGAUGUUGGUGUCGUUGUAGAUGUGUCCCCGGAAGGACGUGCACCGUGCUAGCCCAAUGGUGUGAGAACCUGGGAACGUAGAAGAAGAAGAAGAACAUGAACAACAGCCCUCGCAUUAAUCUCUGCUAUUUGUUUCAAUAACUAAGUCGUUAAGGAUUCUAAUUCGUCUUUAAGCCAUUGGCGUUCCUUUUAUGGUUGUGGGAGCACAUGCCUUUGCCGGGCAAGAGAAAGAUGACAACAGUCACGAGUGUAGGACCGGGCGAGCCCUGCCGACACACCCCCUGACCUCCACCAGAUACUAAAGCAGAAGCUAACACAACCUAAGAACUUACCUCUCUCCUCCAUAAUUUAUAUCCUUCCUAUGAGUAAGAUGAUUUUAUGAAGCACAAUUCUAUCAGUACGAUGUUUUUUUUUUUUCUUCUUCUUCUUCUUUUGAAUUCAUAAAUCCGCAUUAGUUUGUCGUAAAUUAUAUUACCAAUCUCAAAGCUUAGAUCCAACCCUACUAAUAAUCUAGGUUUCUAAGUUCUACUCCUGGGGUUGUGGCGUUUCCGGUCUCCAAUACUUACCACUGGUCAUUCUUUAGAUUCAAAGACAACCGAAUGAUAAAAGUUGGUCGAUGCUAAUCUAUGAUUCUUGUCUUUUUCUUCCUGAACAAUAGUUGAACCAUUUCGUGCUUUGGCAGCAGAUUCCCGUCUUUUUCUUCAUGAAUUGAAGUUGAAUGGUUCCAUCACUUUAUCGCUUUUCAUGUGCCAAUCGCAAGGUGACAACUCAUGUCUUUGUAAUAAGGGGCACCCUUGAUUUGACACGAUCACCUCUUGCACUGCUGAUGGCACAGAAAAGCGAGUGCAGAUUGAUAUAAUAAUCUGCAGGUAAUGUUAGACGAAUCUAUUGUGUUCGUAUAAUCUGGCAAGUAUGAUGCAUCGAAAGUAAGUGUUCUCUGCAUUGCCAUAGCUUCGAUCCUUACCAGAGAGUGCGACCAUGUCUUUAGUUGAGAGACCCUUGGCCGAGAACUUGGAGAUGAGAUUGCUAAGCGAUGAGGUCGGUGGGGGGAUCUGCUUGUUAGCUUUGGAUAUGCUUGCUCUCCUGGAGUCCCUCCUCCCCAGCUUCACAUCCCAGUUAGGCCCUCCGAGCUGCAAGAUGAGCUCUUCUUCGGUCCAUUAAAAGCUUACUCUAAAUGACAUAUACAGAUAGAACAUCAGCACUACCCACAAUGACUACUGAAUCUCUCGCAGCGACCGCCAAGAUAUCCGCACACGACACCACCCCCGGGCACGCCUUCUCCACCGCAGUCUUGAUUUGGUCUAUGACUUCGAACCCUCUGAUGGAGUUGUUGUUUGGCUUAGCGGUCUUCUCCCCCGUGAAGGUGGGCGUGUCAUCCAGCAGCACCGACCCAUCGCACCCCUGUAUACGUAUAUACAUGCGUACAUGAAACAUAGACAUGCCAGGCAAAGAAGAAGGAGACACAGCUGAUGUUUGCGGGCAAGGGAGGAUUACAAGAACAAAGCAGUCAUGGAAGAAGAGGCGAAGGACGGAUGCACCCAACCGCUUCUCUUUCGAGAUUGCAGACUGGACAACGGGUUUCACCGUGCUAAACAGCUUGGGGCACGACGAGGAAUAGAAGCUGGUGGAUAGCUGCGCAGAGGUGCCGCCGAGAAGGAGAAGUAGAACCAAGGCUGCAGAGGCAAAGACCGUGGAAGAGGAAGCCAUCGGAGCGCAGAGAGUUCCUGUGAUGGCCAGGCCACCACAUGUAUCAUUAGGUCGACAUAUAUAGGAGGGGUGCCCGAGUGGGUGUUGCUGUCGUGACGGCUGCAUCGUAAACCUACAGCGUUGGGAUGGUUUGCAUGGCACCAAAUGACAGCGUAGGUGUGGCAGAUGAAUUACCAGUGCCGGAGGGGAAAAGGACAGAGCUAUUAUUGUGUGACACAUCUUCGACAUGGAAAGAUCAUAGUGAGCUUAUUGCCUAAAUAUCAAGAAAACAGAUACGAUUAAGCUUUCUGUCACUCCCCACCCCUGAAAUUACAUUAUUAUUAUUAUUUUCGUCGUAGUAAUUCUUUUCUUGGAAGUCAAAGUGUAUUUAUUUAUUGAACGGUUAAACCCAUAGGCGUCCUGUGACUCGAGCACAUAUCACCUCAUCUUCCCUAACUUUUGCUUUCUCUCAGAAGGAAAAGUGACUAAAGGUGAAUCCACAGGCUUCAUGUGACUCAAAAAGAUGAGUCUUUCGUUCAUCUCCUUAGGAAGGAAUUCAAAUUAGAUGCAUUAAAUUAUUGAGAUUAAAUCACUGAUCCAUUUAAUAAUUGUUUAAUAUAUUUUAAGUAGCGAGUCAAUGACCCACAUGUCAAUGUCAGCUAUCUAACAAUCCAACCUGUCGGUUCUCUGUAGACCGGAAUCAAUUACACCGAUGCUCAAAUUAAUAAUAAUAAUUUAUCAGACUCUUAUAAGUCAAUUCAUAUUUUUUUUCAAAUACUCUAUCGAUCAUGUGUUGCGUUUACUAUAUUUUUUAUUGUAGGAAUAAAAAGGCAACAAUUAUUCUUUUUUCUUUAAGCGUUAUAGUGGGUUAGUGGUUCUAAAAGAAAUAAUACAUUAAUUAAAACCAAUAGAUUGUCUAUGAUAUGGAACCUUGACACAUGAAGCUAUGUGACAUAUGAGCUAACCGAGUGCAAAAGUAAAAGUUGCCAUCAAUCAUUUAAGUUGGUGUGUGAUGCAAUCUACAUGGGGUCAACCAUAUCUUUCUUGCCUUCCCCAGUGCAUGGCAUUUCCUUGUAGGUAGCCAUGUCAAGCCAGAAGCUGCUCCACUGCCAACACAUUAUUAUGCUUGUGUUCUCAUCAAGUUCACAACAGCAAAGCAGUAGGGACGAAUGCCGGUUGUCAUUUUCUUGCGUCGAAGUCUUAUCAACUAUAUUAAACCAUGUUAUUUUCAUGCCAAAAACAAGAAAAAGUAGAGAAAGCCGAUCCAAAAUUAAAGACCAAAAUUAAGAAAAAGUGGAGAGUCACACGGCUAUUAUGCCACCGAAAAUGACAAAAAGCCAAUUCAUGAAUAUGUCACGUUGAUUAAAUUAUAAUAAAUAAUAAAUAAUAUUUCUUUGACCACUAACAACUAAAGAAGGAUGUUCGAUGGAUGACAUGAGAAAUUUUUUCAACAUCAAUCUUCGUACAAACGGAGGUUAAACAUCACAUCACAUCACACACGAUCGUAACUUUAAAUAUGACUAAUUAUAGAUUAUCCUUUGUAAUUAACUUUUAAAAGUUAUAUUAAAAUACAAAUGUAAAAUAUUUAAAACUCCUUUCUCUUUUUUAUUUUUAAUCCUAUAAAAUUAUCUCAAUGUUUUACUUUCAUAAGUAUAAUAUCUUAAGGAUUGAAAUACUAAAAAUAACUAAUUAACUCUUUUGAACAACACUAGUUCUCCAAAUGGAGGGUUAGAGUCGGUCGUCAUGGAGUUGAACAAGAUAAGAUGUAAAGUAAAUAAUUAUGGGCGAAUUUUUGAGAAAAUUCUUUUUUUUUUCUUUCAAAAAUAUCUAAUUUUCUAAUGAUAUUUUUUAAUAAAUAAAAUACCUUCAGUCACUUAUUCUCUCAUAUUUUUUUUUCAUUUUUUUCUAUGGACGAUUCAAUUACAGUAUUUUUAUAUUAUAUUAAUAUUAUCAAUAAUAGUGGAAAAACAUUAACCAUUCCACUCGGGAGACAUCCACAUGCAUCCGUUGGACGCUCCCAUCAAUCAUGUAUGUUCCCAUGUGGUGGAGCCAAUUUGGUCCAUCGAGCAUCCCGAAGACGACGUAUUAGCAUCGAUUGCUGCGGGGCCAUGUCAUGUACUAACCUUUGACAUUGGGAUCGAUCGUCAACAUCACCUUUCACCUAUGCAAACCAGCCGUCGGACAGAGAAAAGCCACGCAACAUCUGAGUUCUCACAUGCAAUCUUCUUUCUCUCGUUGAUUCUACCGGAGUGAUUUUUUGGGUAUUGUUUUUGCUGAUCUCGUUGUGGCAUUUCGACAAGCAGGUUGAUGUUGCUGCCCUGGCCCCUCCGACACGGACGUCUGUUCGAUUCCGAAGGUCUUGGCUCCACUGCCUCUGAAGGUAUACGCAAAACGAAGAUAGAACGCAUCUUUUCCCCUCCAUGCUCAAAACUAACUUCGUAAUCUUGUCGGCAUCUUUAUGUUCAACGCAUGCUUGGCUACUUGCAUUAGGAGCUUGCUGUUCUUAAUGAAAUAAGUGAUGUCAAAGGAUUAACCAUGUCGGGCAGUUACUUUGGUUGUUGCAAAUGAACUCUUCCACUCUUGAAUGCAUUAUUUUCAUGUUUUCUUGCAUUUGAUGGUACAUUUGCUGCUCCAAAACCAAUUAUGGUCGCCACCAACCCAUAGAUGCACCUCUGUGCUGCGAGGGAGACUUUGAACGUUCGACGGUGCAGAUACUCUGCUACUGCUUGCUUUUUCGUUGUGUUAUUUUUCACCAAAGGUUCUGGAUUGACAAGAUGCUUUCAACUUUGAAAUAGAUCUGAUGAGUGAUCUCUUGAUCAUGAGAAGUCUCAAACAAUCAAGUCAUAUAUGUAAUGAACAUAAAUUCCUGAUCCUAAUUCUACUCAUUGUUGGCUGUUAUCCUGUGCGAGGUAUUUCGAUUGAAAUUCAACUUGUCAAGAUAUUUUUUGUUUUAGUACUUAAAAGAAUAUCUUUGUGAAUCUUUUGUAGAUAUUUGUUGCUAGUAUUUCUUCCUUGAUAGUGCAUUUACCCUAAAGAAAAGGAGGAACCUUUUUUUGUUCUUGUUGGUGCUCAUUCUAUUGUGGUGCAGAUGAUAUUUACACUCUCUACUGCUCUUAUAACUCUUAUUGCUCUGUACUCAUGGAAAUAUACGACAGAUUUCAUAUCUAUAUCCCCAAGGAGUUUCAAGAUAGAAUCCUGUCUUAUAAACAGUUGAUGUGGGUUUAACGUACAUAGUUUUGUUUGUAUACCUAAUGAUGUUCGAUAACAUUUCCUGCUUUGGAAUUAGUCAAUCUUUCGUCUCGCAUUAGUUUCUUGGAACCUGUUUGUGUGACUGCAAUUUAGUCUUGUGCUUUGGUUGUAAAUGUGGAGGAUAUCUGUCUUAGUGUACGGUUGUGCUCCUAAUGUUGUCAUAUUUCUGUUUCUUCAUAUGUAUAUUUCAUUUUGCUAUUGAAGUAUCAAUUUGGCAUUAUUGUAUUUCUUUACUUCGAGUCUUGCAUUAUAUUGGCUCAUAUCUAUUGACAUAUCCAUUUUUCAAUGUCAUGCAUGGCUUCUUAGAUAUGAGUCGUUUGUUACUAGUGAGUUUUACAUUAGCAAAUGUCUACUGAUAAAACUUGGGCCUUGCAAGCAUAUUAGGCAAAAAAACUUAGAGAAGUUUGCUGCCUAUCAAGUCUUGAAAGGGCCCGUUUGCCUCUCUUAUACUGGAUCUUGUAAGUGAAUCCUGUUUAAUCUUCUAAUGUCUUAUGCAUGUCAUAUGCUAUCUACCAUAUUUUAGCAUCAUGUCUACCUUACAGCAUUCCUAAAUUGUUCACCUUUUGCAACAAUCUUCUCCUUACCAAUCGAGAUUCCUUUUCUUAGGAACCAUGAACUUGAUCUCUACUUCCUUGCUCAGAAAUUGUUGAAGCUCAGACACAGUUCAACUUCAGUCCCUUGCAGUUUAGGACUCUGUAAACUUAGUCGACAAGUUAACUAACCUAAUAUUUCCUAUAUUUUGCCACAACAUGCUAGAAUUAUCACGCCGACACGUUUGAUGUUGAAGUCUAAUGUAAUACUUUGGUUUUCAUAUUGCGUAAUCAUAUUUAGAUGUGCUUCGAGUGUAACACCAUUUUCAUGAAUGAUUAGGUGCAUGAAGCUUGCAGAAGUUUCAUCAUUUUCAUUUUUUCACAGUUAUAUAAGAUAUCAUAUGCAUUUUUCCUUUGUAAGUUUUCUUAACAAAACAUUAUAAAAACAGACGUUUAGGUGAUGCAGGUUUUGUUCUGGAUCUUGAAUAAAUUUGUCAUUGACUCGAAAUCAAAAUCCACUACAAGAGCUGUAAUCUUGGUAAGAUUCUGUAUAUGUUAAUCUGCAAACAUUCUUGAAGUGUGUUAAUGUGACCCUCAAACUCAACUACAGUAUAUAGAAACUUACAAACAAAAGAUCUGAGAUACAGCAUUGAUAUGUAAAAUAAUGUUUUAGUAUCAACACAAGGUUGAUCAAGUUCUACCUUCUUUAGUUAAUAGAAUUAACAUACAAUUGUUUUCCCUAUUGACAUCUACAAUGACUAUCAAUGUAGAUGUUUCUGACAAUAACUCUGGAGCAACAGAGUCCAGUUACUAUAUGAAUCUCUUGUUAGAAGAAAGUUUAGUAAAAUUAUUUAUGGCAAUCUAAAGAUUGAAAUUUUCAAUCAAUGUAUAUCUCUUUGCAUAAUAUUGAUGACAUGAUAUGUAUGAAGCCUUCCACGAUGUGCAUAUCUCUUUGCAUACUUGUCAAACCUUGUUUUUCAGAUUUAUUUAAUGAAGAUAGAAAUGAGCUUCUAAUCAUUCCAUGGUGGUGGAAACUCAUUCAUGAUUAUGGACAAGGUAUUCUGAUCCUUCUUGUUGUCUCUGCUAAUUCUAUUACACUGGCCUAAUGCCUUGAACUUGUUUCAGAGCCCAAGGGAUUGUCAUAGACAGAGAAGAGUGAGCGAAAAUAAGAUAAAUGGAGAAGAAAACCUUGUGAAGCUUCGAAAGUUGAGUUUUUCCAAUUGGUUUUGAUUAGCUUAAAUCUCAAUCGUAUUCUUUAUGAAGUUAAAUGCAGGGCUGCUUAUCCAUAUGGCUUCGGAGCUGCUUAUACAACAUGAUUAUUUCAUCUGUCCUCUAAAUUAUUAAGAUCAAUCUGUUGUGACUUUGAAGCACUUGUCUGGGAACAUUAAAAUUGGGAAUUAGUGCCUCAUUUUAAUUUUUAUUUAGGAAACUCUAUGAUAAAAAAAGUCGACUAUAGAUGGUUACAGAGAACCGAGAUUAACAUCUGUCGUGUUUGUCAUGGUUGAUGAAGAGAAGUUUGAGAUUUACAUAAUGAACAAGUUUGAGAUCAAUAUAUGUCAUGUUUGUCAAUAAAUAAUUAUUUCUAGGGUUAGCCCAAUAGAGUCGCUACUUUGGAAUCUCAAAGGGUGGAAAGGUUCCAUAGAUAAUCUUUUUUUUGUUUUAAGUCAGAAAAUUUAUUAUGUGAUUUUGAUAAGGGAUAUAUAAAUAGUAAAAGAUAACAGAGUGACUAUUCUUAUCACCUUUGUUUUCUCCUUAUUUUUUUUUCUUUUUUCUCAUUUCUCAUAUCAUAUAGAGAUAUAAAUUGGAUGGUGUCAAUAUAUUAUCAUAACAAUAUAUUGUCAGAGUGUGUCUCAAAUCUUUAAUAUAUUUAUAUUAAUUUGCUCUGAAUGAUUAACCUUUUUUUGGUAUCACACACUAAAAUAGCAAGUUUAUAAUAUGAGAGAAUGUGUCGGAAUGAUUCAAGUUCGAUCUUAUAUAGAAUAAAUAUUUCAAUGUUUAUUAUUAGAAUAAUAUAUUGAAAUCGAGGUGCUAUUCCGAGAUAAAAUAUUAUUAACCUAAGAAUGUCAAUAUGGAUAUAUCGACGAUAGAAUACCAUGUAAAUACCGAUGUGAUCACAUGUUAUUAACAUAUGAUAUUAACAUGUAAAUAUGGUGGACUUGGAUUUGGAUUUGGGUAACUUACGAUGGAGUGGUAGUGGCAAACCCCUCGAGAAGUGAAUGGGUGGAUCGGUGCGUGGCCAUGCCAAUGAUUAGGGUGGUCGAGCAGACUCGUGAAUGGAAUAAGGGUACGUGCAUGGUUUGUCCCUAAUGGCAUGCAGACAACCUAGUAAGCCACAAUGGUGUGAGAGUCAUCACCACAACCAUCCAACCACUGUACGUAUUGCUAUCCUCCACCUCCCACUGAGCUGUCAUCGACGUUGUAUCACGGCGAUGUCACGAGAUGCGGUCUGUCUCAACAUUUUGGUGUCACUAUCCAUCCAUAUACAUAUACAUAUAUAAAUAUACACAAACAUGUACGCGCAUCAAUGUAUGUGCUAUGACACACGGUUGGGAGAAAUGUUUACCUCUCUUCUGGGCUUGACACAUGUCCAUCCCGUCAGCAUAAGGUGGUCAAGACCUUCGGUCAUCAUUAGGUUAUGUCAAUAUUUAUCGAAUAUAAAAGAUUCAAAAAAUAUUCCUUCACUCGGUAAAAUAUUUUAAUAGGUUAAAUCAGAUAUAUAUAAAAGGCAAACCAAACCUUAAUAAAUGGAGGUCAUAUAAUAUUCACCCUUGUCUCCUAUUUCAACCAAGAGCUUCUCGGUUGUAUAAAUAAAAUAGAAAAAAGAAACUUUAUUAAAAAAGCUUUAUUAAAGAAGAAUACAUUAACAUGUUCCUCUCCUGUUUAUACAGAAUUGGAGGGAGGAUUUUUCAAACAGAAUAGAGGAUUUCUCUCAAUAAAGUAGAGAGAUUUCCUCUCAUAUAGUUGAGGAAAUCUUAUCUGCUAUCAGUAUCAUAAAAACACUUUUUUGCAUAUAGAUCCAAAUCAAGUCAAAUUGAUUUUAUUAUCAUCGAUUGAUAGAAGAUCAUGAUGGAAGCAGAAUAAUAUCUUGUAUUUCUUAUAUCCUCAAUAAAUCUAUGAUUUGAGGAUCAAUUAUAGAUUUAAAUGUGAUUGAGUAAUUUAAGUGCAUGAUCAAGGAAAACUCAAAUUUUGUAUAAAUACUUAUUAUCUCAAUGAAUAAAAUUGCUCCUCUUCGUAAUAACUUUUAUUCUACAUGGUAUCAGAGUUUUCUUGCUUUAAGCACGAAUGACUUCCUUCCUCCUUCGUGACCCACUCUCAGAGCCCAAGCAAGAGCCCUCCUCAAUCACUACUCCACCCUGAUUGCUACAAUCACCCUUUCGCGACCUGCAUGAUAGAGUUGAUCAGUCCUUCGACGAUGCAGAUAUGAUCUGCUACCUCUACUGAUGUUGAUUUGAUCCAAGCUUCCGAUGAUUGUUCCCCUCUCCAUUGCUAAUCUAAUUAGUCAUCCACCUCGCUGAUCUAACCAGUCCUUUGGCAAUCUACAAUAGAUCAUUCCUCGCUUCGACAACAUAUCUCAAUGAGCCCUCCUUCAAUGUAGGUCUCAGCCAAAGAAGUAACCACCCCACUCUCCAUCAUUGAAUCACUCAAAUUAUAUGAUGAUAGCCCUACUAUGGAUCCUACAUAGUAUCGACAAGUACUUUGUUCCUCAUAGUAAUUAUCUCUUACAUGUCCAGAUAUCUUGUUUGUAGUUAAUAAAUUAUCAUAAUUUAUGUAUGGACCCUCUAUUAUAUAUUAGUUUACACUAAAACGUAUUAUGUGGUUUCUUAAAGACACUCUCAUGAACUUUUUCUACAUAAAUACUCUUCACUUCAUCUUCAUGCUUUCAUCGACACUGAUUGGGCAAACAAUACUGAUGAUAGAAUAUUUACGUCAACAUAUACUCUAACUCACAAUCUGAGCAGAUAAGUACUAAUGCUAAUUAUAUGUAAAAUAUAAAAAUUAUAAUAGAUGACUUGACUUUAAUAGGUUAUCCUCUAAGUGAUGAAAAAGUUAUUGUCUAUACUCUCAAUAGCCUAGGAGAUAAAUAUAAGGAACUUACGAUAGUAAUUCUGGCAAGAGACUCACUUAUGUCAUUUGAAGAAUAGUAUAACAAGUUAAUUGAUAAUGAAACAUAUCUAAAAAAAGAAGAGAGGAUGAUAUAACUAAUUAUCACAACUUAAGUCGGUCAACAUUUUAAAAGAAUUAAUAAUCAAAGUAAUAAAAACUUCAACAAAGGAUCCAAUAAGAUGCCUGAUAUACACAUGGGUAAUAUGCAGAGCCAUCAUCCUCCAUUACACUAUCAAUCCUUCAAUAGUGGUGAUAACUUUAAUCCAAAUAACUUAGGAAAUAUCUUACACUAUAAGUAUCAAUUGCACUUUUACUGAAUCACUCAAAUUAUAUGAUGACAACCCUAUGAUGGAUCCCACACAGUACCGACAAGUAUUUGGCUCCUUACAGGACUUAUAUCUUACAUAUCUAGAUAUUUCAUUUAUAGUCAAUAAAUUAUCAUGUGCAUUAAUUUUCUACUAUGCAUUGUCUAUAGUAAAACAAGUUCUGCGGUAUCUAAAGGGGACUCUCGAUCAUAGAUUUUUUUUUCGUAAACACUCAUCACUUCAUCUCUAUACCUUCGUCGAUGCUAAUUGGAUAUAUAACAUUGAUAAUAAAAUAUCUACAUCAACCGAUAUUAUCUUUCUUGGAGUAAAUCUAAUCAGUUAGAGUUUAAAAAAAUAGAAAACAGUUACAAAAUCCAUAAUUGAAGUUGAAUAUCAAGUCAUCGCUACCAUCGCUACAGAACUCAACUGGGUCACUAAUCGAUUAUAGAAAUUUGACACCACCUUCAAAUCCACUCCUAUAAUAUAUUGUAAAAUGUCAGUGUCACCUACCAUUACGCCAAUCCUUUGUUUCACUCAUGCAUGAAAUACAUUGCUAUUGACUUCCACUUCGUUAGAGAACAAAUUGUUAAAUAUUAACUAUGUAUUUCUCACAUACAUACAUUUGAUUAACUAGUAAACUCCCUCACAAAGCUCAAUUGCUCAUAAGAUAUUUCAAUUAUAUUGAUCUAAGAUUGAUAUCUUUGAAAAAAACUAAUAACAUGAUAGAAGAUCAUAAUAGAGACAAACAUGGAAUAAUAUUCUUUUCAUAUUAUAUUCCUCACUUCUAUAUAAAUCUAAUCAAUUGGAGUUUCAAGAAACAAAACAUAAUCGCAAAAUCUACCACUGAAGCUGAAUACCGAGUCAUAGCUACCACUACUACAGAAUUCAACUAGGUCACCAAUCUACUACACGAACUUGGCAUCAUCUCUCAAUCUACUCCUAUAAUAUACUAUGAUAAUAUUAGUGUCACUUACCUAUACGCUAAUCCGGUGUUCUACUCAUGCAUAAAAAAUAUUAUCAUCGACUUUCACUUCGUUAGAGAUCAAGUUAUCAGAUAUCAACUAUGUGUUUUUCACGUUCAUGCUUUUGAUCAAUUAACAGACUCCCUCAUAAAUUUUUUUCGCUCCAAAGACACUUUGAUUACAUCUUUCCAAUAUCAAUAUUUUUGAUGGAAGCUCAAUUUUACGGGCAUGAUAAAAGAUCAUAAUAAAAUCAAAUACGAAAUAACAUCUUUACAAUUUUUUACAUCCUCAAAUAAUCUAUAAUUUGAUGAUUAAUUAUAAAUUUAAAUAAUUAAUAUGAUCGAACAAUUUAAGUAUAUGAUUAAGAAAAACCUUUCAAUCAAACUCGGUAUAAAUAAGUAUCAUCCAAUAAAAUUAUUCCUCUUCAGAAUAACUUUUUUCCAUUCUACACCGACAUCCUCCGUAUCAUCGUGCUAAACACUUAUACUCUGCUCUUCACUUGGAGGAUGGAGGAGUAGUACAUCUGCCAGAGAGUCUGAAUCUUGUGGGUGGGAGACAGAAGCCAUAAUACGUUGCAAACAUCAGCCAACUAAUUAGAAUAGUUUUAUGAUUCAUACUCUGUCAUGCAUUUUUAUUGCUAGCUGGACUUCAGCAUCGUCUAAGAUUAAAUUAUUUGCAGAAUAAAAUGCGUGGGAUAAAUCCAUCUUUCCCAUCCAUUGUGUUCAACCCAACCUACAAAAUCCAACAUAUGUACAACAAUUAGGUGAACUGUCUAAUACAGAAUAGUUCAACCUAUCAUCCUCACUUCCAACUCCUGCCAAGUCGAAGCUGAUGAAUGAAUGAAUGAAGUCGAUAAGGGUAUACCCGUGAGGGAUGUUUGGAGGCAUUCACAACUCAGAGUGGCAAAGAAGAUCCAAAUCAGAACACGCGUCGCAUUGGCACACCCAAACAGCUCCCCCUCGACGCUUUCCUUUCCGCCUCUAUCACGAGCACCUCACUUCAGAUUCCUCUCCCUCUUUCCGCGUUACCCCACUCUCCUACUUUUAACUCUCCCUUAGCAUUUGGUUCCAAGUUUCUGCUUGCUCUUUGUGCAUGCAUAUGCAUGAAGCAGUACUUCACUAGCACUACGAGCUCCAUCGCUACAGCACGCCAGCAUCGUUCGUCUCACUCACGGUACCGACUCUAAGAAGACUGCCGGUAAACCGAUGCUAUGUGAAUGUUUGUAAGCGAAAGGACCAUCAUGUAGUGGUGGGAAUGGGUUUCGUGAGUCAUAAUUGGGCUUCAAUUAUUGCAGCUGGUGCAUCUCCGUUCCCAGUGGGCCAAGCAGUCAGCAGUUUGAUGGGGAAUGCGAUGUUGACCUCACUGACACUUUGUGCUGGCUAUCCAUUAUUACGUGGGAGCUCAUCCCAUGCUUUCUCAGGUAACAGCAAGACUGCAUGCGUGAUGUAACAAAAUAAUGAUUGGAUUGUUAGCUAAUAUUGCAAUUCAUCCCCGCGAAAGGUUUCUAUCAGCAAUGAUGUUUGUCCUUCUGUAACAGCUGACGUAGGCAAAGUAAUCUACGAUACCUCAACAUCGUGUCGGACUUGCCCUAUUAUAUUCUAUCGAAGCUACUCCUCCAGGCGUUUCCGGAAGAGGCCGGAGGAAGGGAAGCGCGGGGGUGGAACAAAGAAAGAUGACAUCCAGAGAUCAAAAGAAGGCUGUCUUGCAUGAGAAGCUGCAGCUGCUUCGAUCUGUCACCAACUCCAGCGCAGUAAUACGCUUAAUUUUCUCGAUAAUUGUUGUAUCUUGUUGAUGUAUUUGUGCUGCUGCAUCUCCACCAUGUUUGAAAGUCCUCCUACCAUUUUCUGACUCCUUAUUUCGCACUGUAAUUUAUCGAAUGACAUCCGAUUGUUCUCUUCCAUUUGCAAGCUGCAAAACCUACUGUCAUCCUAUAGUUCCUUACUGCUAACUUCUGACAUGGUCCCUUUUCCAUCCUCCUCUUCUAUUAGAGCAUGGAGUGGAUGGAAACCCAUACGAGUCGAUCGAUCCAAAUGUAUCGAACUCAUUUAUGCCAUCUAGACCAAGAACUGCAAUUAAUUUGAGAAUAAUUGGAAGCACAAACAAAUUACUUCAACAUCUAAACUCUACAGUUAUCCUUUAAAAGGUACCUUAGUACUGAUCGCAGAUACUGUCGUUCUUUUAUUCUCAGAUUUCAUGUACUUGUGGUAUUACACUUUGCCGCAUCAUCUAACGCUCUCCCCGUACGUAGCUAAGCAAAGCUUCUAUUAUAGUGGACGCGUCAAAAUACAUCCAAGAGCUGAAGCAAAAGGUGGAAGCAUGCAAACCAGAUCUCGCGGAGGAAAGCUCCCUCCCCAUGGUACUCUCCGGUAGUAGGCUAUAUGAACCUGGAAGAACUCACGGUUGGCCUGGUUUCACUUCUCUACAAUAUCCCUGCAGGUUACUGUCGAAACCCUAGAAAAGGGUUUCUGGAUCAAUGUAUUCUCCGACAAGAACUGCCCGGGCAUGCUUGUCUCCGUUCUUCAGGCAUUCCAGGAACUUGGUCUUGAUGUGCUGGAUGCAACCAUCUCCUCCGCCGACUCAUUUCGUCUUGAAGCUGUUGGAGGAGAAGUAAGCAGAUAAAUUCCAUCACCAGACCUCUAGUAUACUCCACACAUGAGCAUGCUAAUGCAUCUCUCAUCCUCAUAUAUAAUAAUACACAAGUGACUAAGGUGACCAAUGUUCAAGCUGUGCUCCUCCAGUAAUGAUCUACACAUAGACACUGUGCUCUCUCGCUACAUGCAUAAACGCAUUCAUUGAUAUGUCUGCUUGUGUACUAUAUGUUUGAUGUAGCUUUCUUCUCCUGCAUAAUUAUGUGUAUCUACAGAGGUGUGCAGACCACACUGCUCCUUUCGAUAUAUAAGAAGGUUUCCACACUCUUACAUGCAUUAACAUGUAUAAGAACAAGAUACAUGGCAUCAAGUCCAAAAGAAUUGGUCAUUGUGCAUAGUCCUACUGCAAACUAUAUCUCUAAGUGGAGAUAGGAUCUAUAUUAGGGUUUAUCAUGUCCCAAUUUUGUUUGAGUGAUGUUUAGUUACGUUCGAUAUCGACAUGAAACAAUACUUCACAUUUGACUUAUAAUUGGUAUAUGUAUAUAUAUCAUAUAUUGUCUUAAAACAAAGCAUAUGGAGAAAGAAACUCCGAAGCGCAUGCAUUAUUAAUUUGCGUAUAAUGUGAAAAAUACAAGAAUAAUGAUAGAGGUCGAAUUCUGCAUAGUGAGUGAACCAUUGAGAAUUCAAUGCUGAAUUCUGAGAUUUCAUUUCAAAUGGCAUUCAUCCUUCUCUUUUUCUUCUAGCAGCCGCAGAAUGAGAGCGUGGAUGCACAGAUGGUGAGGCAAGUGGUGGUGCAAGCUAUUAAGAAGUGUAUGGGAAGUUAAAGCAACGAGCAAAACCAGAAGGAGAAUGGAGGAGCAAAAGGGUCUCUAAAAGAUGGGAGAAAAAUAGUAGAACAGAAUUGUGCAGCUUUCUCCAAAGUGCAAGCGAGCAUAUAAAUUGUCUCUAUUGUUUUCUGUCAUUCUGCCUUCCAAUAUCUGCAACCAAAAAAAGCAGUCUUUUGCUGUCUCAAAGGACACAUAUAAUGAUGGAUUUGUGUAUAUAAAUAAGUAGAUAGCAGAAAUAAUUAAUUACUAAUAUUUUAUGCAAUAUCGGAUGCUUGGUUUUUGUUCUGACAUCCUAAUUCAUAUUGUCCUGAUUUAAUACUUUUAAUGCGAUAUAUGUAGUUAUUAAAAAAUAUUCAUGUGUAAGAUAAAAAUAGUAAAUAGUUAAAGAAAAUAUAAUUAACAUGAAAAUAAGAAAGCAUUAAAAACUUAAAUUUAUGGAUCAAAUUUAAUACAUGUCAUCUGACUCCUCUAAAUCCUUUUUCGAUGUUCACACAAACUGAAUGGCAAAAAGGUUUUCGUAGAUAUCGAUUUUGCCGAGUCAGUUUUGAAUCACAAUUAACCAUUAUCACGAUACAGUUUCGAUUCUCCAUGUUUGAUAGGCUCUCCCUGUAACAUUUGCAACAAAUUUGUUUAGAGAUUUUAUACCUGGUAUUUGGCACAUCAUGCUAUUUAAGCUCUAAUUAAAGAUGCUGCCCAAUGUACUCCUAAUGUACUAAGAUCACAUACAUGCUAAAGCAUGAUAAUGGCCUUUAUUUAUGUCGUCAAAUGUCCGCAUACGUGUGGGUAAGCAAAGCAGGAACCAAAAGUUAUACAUUUAUGAUUAAAUUAAAAAAAUAAACUAAUUUUUCGAUUGUGCACCUCUGAGAUUACGAAGGAGUUGAUUCAUAAUUGAUCAAAGUUUGGGGUUAGAAAGUUAAACAUCAAUCAAGAUCAUUGAUGGAGUCCAACAGAGCAUCGAUAUCCGGGGUCACCACCGCACGCCUGUCGAUCUCCCCGAGUACACAACAGCGCUUGUCUUUAGUAUUAAUAGCUACGACAUCUUGAGCGAAUGAACCGCAUAAACCAUGAGAAACCUGCAAAGAAGAAAUUGAAUCCUAAUUAGCAAGCAGGGCUAACAUAUCAGCUGCUUAGAAAAGAAUACAAGCAACAAAAAAUGCAACUCACAUCAAACAGUGUAUCUCCUAGCUUCAUCUUGACUUUCCCACUCUUGUAGACCAAUAGUUUACCCAUAAACCCCGGUGGCAGCUCCUCCAAUUUGCAGCCCUUCUUCAAUGCACGGUCUAUCUUGCCUGCAGCAUCUUUAGUGUUUGUGGUUGCAGCAGGUUGCUUUGGCAGUGGAAGGUUUGCAGGAAACUGAAAGAAGAGCAUUUGUGUUUCUUCCCUCUUCUCCUGCCAUGAUCGUCAUUGAGAUGCUAAUGAGAGCAAUGCAUCCGGAAGAGUAUGAGCUAUGCUAAAAAUUCAUACCAUCAGACCAAGUUCCCCGGCUGAAUCAAUUUUAGUUUCAUCCAUACCCAAGCUUGCUGAAGCCUCCCCAAAUUCCUCUUCAUCAAGAAUUUCUGAAACAAACCGGGCACAGCUGAAAAGUCUCUCCUUGCUGCAUGAUUGUGUAAAGUACAGUGGAACCAAUUUUUACCUGGGUUCCCAGAGUAGGGCCUUCUUAGGGGAAGUGUGCAAGGAUAGUAUGAAUGAUCAUAAUCCUGUCAAGAGACAAAACAGUAGAACUAUGAUGUCACUUAUAAAGAAUGAUUUGGUGGAAGUAAUGCUACUAUACUCACCCAAGGCUCGACAUAUUCUUUCUCAAAUUUCUGUACAUCAAGGCCAUCUACAUACCCCGGAAUUAAAAAAAAAAAAAACAGUUGUUCAAUGACUUGUUAGGGCAGAUCAAAGAGACAUGAAUUCAUGAUCAAAACGGCACCUGAAUCUUGGAUUCCUGUACCACGACCCUUGGGAAAUGACCUUGCUAACGAGGAACUUCCAUGGCCAAAUGCUACUUCUGACGGACCAACUGCAAUGAACAAACAGAUAACUGGACUUUAAAAGAAACAGUCAGCAUUGAGAAUCCUGUGAUCACAGACUCACAGUUUAAAUAUUCUGCAGAAGAAAUAUCAGUAAACCCUAUGAAUUAAAAAGAACAUUCUAUAUGAAUUAUGUCAUUUUGUGACAACUGAAUAGUGAGGAGGUUUUCAGGCCUUUGAUCUUAAUCUGUGGGCAACUUGUACAUAUUAAAUAAUAUUGAAUGUUCUGUACAUCACUGAGGAAACUGCACUAUGAAAAUCCAUAUAUUUCAAUCCAAUUAUGAAUAUAACUCGUAGAGGGCAACAAGAUAAUGAAUUGUGCAUUUAGGUCCAAUAAUAUCAGAAACAACUCAUAUUUGAGAGCUUUCCAACUCACAGAGAGACUUCUCAUGCCCAACUCAUAGGUCCAAUAAUAAAAAAACAAGGUGCAUUUUUCUAUAUGUGGCUUUUGCUUGCACCCGGAAUGAUUCAUUUCUCACAGAGGAAAAGAAUGUUUCUAAUUUACAAGGUGGAAGUAAUUAUAAGAAUGAUUGUGUCUUCUUCACAAAACAGAGGUAUCAUAAGGCUGCUUAUGUGCCAAUUUAUUACGUUCCAUAUUGUGCAACUUCUUGCUUGCACAUGAGAUGCUCUACUCUAAAUGGAGCAAAAAAAAGAAAAAGCUUUCUUGAAGCAUUAUGACAUAGGAAAAUUACAAUUUAGGAAUUAAAGCCUACAAUUAAUAUAAGAAUGUCAUGACAUUUUCUUUUUUAGAAAAGGAAUGAAACCAUUUGUUCUCUAAAGCAUGUCAGUCGAUGAAAAGAAACUACUAAGAGAAUAUGUUUUUUGGAGAAUAUACCCAAGGCAGAUUAAAAUAGAGUCCUUUAAGAACCAGAGUUGAGUAAUUUGUCUUACAGAAAGUUGAUUUGAGUAUCUCUAACCUUUUCUAUCACUCUUAGGAAAUCUCCUCAUGAGACCAUCGUUAGCCUGCUAAGACAUGGCUCCAAUCAAACAAAGAAAUUAUCGUAAAAAGGGCAGGGCGGACAGCUUCAAGUGGCUGAAAUAUUAAUUAAUAAUUACCUUCGCAUGGUUAAGCUUUGAGAGCAGUUCCUUAUCAACAACAUCAUCCUUGGUUUCAGGUUUUUCCCUACAAGCAAGCAUCAUGUAAGUUCCAGGAAAUGCAUUAAAAAUAUAGUGCUUUCAAUAAUCUACACCAUACGUUUUAGUUGUGAGAGGCUUUGGUGCCUUCCGAGGAGGUAUCUUAGGGGUGAACUUCAUCUGCUUAAAGGAAAUAAACAUAUAAACAAUCUAAACUCAGAGACUGAUCAUUAACAGCAUCACAGGGGGAAAAGAGCGAACACCUUUCGAGCAGGAAAUUUUGGAAGACCGUCCUGUUCUCCCUUCAUGUUAUAUCUUCUAAGAUUCUGAAGAAAAGCAGAGAAAGUUACAGGAAUCUGAAUAACGUAAGCAUAGACAUUAAAGAUUCAAAAGACAGUGAUAACAUCAAAAUUGUUUGAUCUAUAUCGUAUUUAUCAACACGUAAAGAAGCACAAGUUUCCGACAGGUUUUUGAUUCUGCAUCAAGAUCGAUUCAAUUAUCUAACAUGCAAGGACCGACAAUAGGAUUUCUUUAGCAUUGUUCGAGGAAGAACUGAUCUUUCCGAGAAGGCAUACCAGAAGAAGAAGUUGCGGUCGAUGAUAUGGGAAAGAAGAGAUCGAAAGAGGCGGCGUGGCUUCCUCCCACCGAACAACAAAGUGAUGCGGAGGGAAGGGUUUAUGGUUAUAUGGACUUCGUGGGAUGGGUUGCUACAGGAAAUUCGGUAUACUUCAUGGCGGGACCCAGUAACUUUGGCCUAUCACUGUCGUCUCCAGCUUGAUCGGGGAAUUCACGUAGGGUCCCGAGAGGCCGUGGACGACAGAACUACGUCAAGAUUAAACUUGGACAAGAGCUGGGCCGAUCACCCUGCCGUCUUCUGUAGCACGGCCCGAAGAUGUAUGAUACUGAUGGGCCAACGCAGUAGGUUGCCCCUCGAUAACUUCAUUGGGCUCUCGGUCUCUCAAAUUACCUCGUCUCGUCCGGUGUACUCCUCGUCUACCUCCUCCUCGCCUCUCAAUUCAAGGCCGGACACCCCUCCCACUCCCACGCCCACGGCCCGCCUCCUCUUCCGCUACUCGGAGGACUCGUCUCCGUUUAUCCGCUGGAAGAUGUCUCCGGAUCAAGGCCUGCGUAAAAUUUCAAUACCGACGUGUGUGUGUUUGUUGAGACCAGUUUGUUCUCUUUGGUGAAAACAUGCUCAGAUGUUGUUUGAGGAUAUGCCUGUGAAAAAUGUUGUCUCUUGGACUGGAUCAUUAGUGCGUAUAAUGGUGACGAGAGGCUGGAAGAGGCGCUUGACACGUUCAGAAGCAUGUUGGAUAUGUGUUUGAGGCCAAAUAGUUUCACUUUAGUCAAGAUACUGACUGCUUGUUUUUGGUCACUUUGGUCGAUAACAACAACAACAACAACAACAAAGCCGUAAGUCCCAACUAUCGAGAUAUACUAGAGUCAACAUGUGUGCUAAACGCGGAAGAAUGAAGAAGGCUUGCAUAAUUAUCGAGAUGUCCUAGAGUGCAAUGAUCUAUUGCAUUGUGGUGCAUCAGUUCUCCUGUUGGCUUGUAAAAUUUGUGCAGCUGCAAGGAGUAAGUGGGUUACAUACAAGAGGUUGGACUUACAGUUUUAUCUCCAUUAUCCAUUACAUUAUACAUCUGCAUGAUCUGUUACUGAACUCCCAACCAUAGACAUCGGUGCCAUGUGCAAGGCCUUUUGUUCGAUUAAAUCAUACUUGCCAGCCAAAGCCGGUUGAUUUAUAAAUACCAGGAUUAGUACAACUACCUUAUUGUCAUAUCAUGCAUUGUUAUCUUACAAUGAACAUCCAUGGUUAACUCUGUGUUAUUUGUUCUCUUUGUUUAACUACAGAUUCAUGUCGUUGACUCCUCGUUCGUGAGCCAAACAAGACCCGGUGAGCCUCACCUCAAAUAGCCAACUCAUUAGGACAUGCAUGCACCAAUCUUUUAUUUUGAUGGGUAAAAGUGUUCAGGUACAUCAUCUGCUAUUCAGAUUUCUUGCACCUUUUGUUCUACUUACUUGAUCUGGCUCUACUCAGAAAAUAUUUGCUGCGCAUUUCAUCUUAGUGCAAUUUUUUUUUAACUGAAUCUUUUGCAUGAAAAAGAAAAAUUUCAACUGUUUUAUAGUGCCCAAAAUUUAGAGCAAUGGGAUUCAAGUACUUAUUCACCCUUCUUGUAGCACAUUGUAUGCUAAAUUUGAUAAGGGGAAUACAAAUAAAGAAAUCACUCAUUUUUAUCAGGUACGGAAAUGGUACUAGCUCGGUCAUAUUUUAAUAAACCUCUCUUUGGUACUUAGUGUCGUCGGCAUUAGUUUUGGCAUUUCAUUAGCACCCUGACUCUCAUAAAUGAUUAAAGAAAGAGUUCCAUACUGUGAGAAUGUAGCAUGACAGCUAGUUGAAGGAACAAUAGGUUUUGGAAGUAGUAAACAAGUAUGUCACAACCAUCAAUACACUUCUUAGUUGUCACAGUGAUUUUUACGCAUACAUGCACCGAAUAUUAACUACAAAAGCAAUCCUUUUGGCAUCGAAAUUUUAAAGAAUCCAUAGAAACAAAUUGACUCAAGGUUAUUAUAAUUAACCAUCGCUUGGCAAGGAAUCAAAUUAGCUGUAGCUGACAACCCUUGGUAUUAAAUUCUGCCUCCCUGCUUCUGAGCUAGGAAAACCUACACCGUUCAGGAAUUAAACAUGAUCACUUCUUGUUUUUGCAUAUGAUUGAUCAUUCUAACAAGUAAGCUAUGCCAAAUGUCGAGAGAUAGCAACCUAAACACUAAAUCUAACAUCAGACUGAUUAGGUGCUCUGUGUGCAAUCAUCGAGCAGAAGCCUAUGUUUUGCAGGCUCUUAACAUUGUGGUUGAAGGGCAAUCUGCUGCAUUGCGAUGAUCCCCAAUAUCAUAUCAGAAGCCAUGGAUGCUUGCACAUGGUCACCAUAUUAAUUAAGAUUUGAUAACUUUGAACUUGGGAGAGAAGUCCAUGCUUCCAUGGAUUCCUAAUGAAAGAUUAAACAUGGUCAGAUCUGUCCACUUGCCAUCAAACAAAAUAUAUGGGCCACUAGGUGACCAUACCUUCAUUAUCUAUUCCUAAAAGGACAGUACCUUGAUCAAGACUUCUUUGAGGCCAAACAAAAGCUAAUCUUAUCAACCUUGUUGGCCAGUUAAAGGUGUGAGAGAACUGUUGUUAGUCUCAUCGAUAUGCAACAUCUAAAUUAAGGUGGAAAUAUGGCUUUCGGAUAACAAUUCUUUUUCUUUUUUUCCCUUUAUCUUUAGCAACUGUUUUACUACUUUUUCCUAGAGAAUAGAAGAAUAGCAACAAUGCUUUCAACAUUAAAUUUGAUGACAAUAUAUGCAAUAACGUAUUUUAGUCUGAAGAAAAUAUAUGCAGUGACUGAUAUGAAAAGAUCGGAUUUUGUAAUAAAAAAUGGAUUCGUUUCUUGGUUCUCUCCAGGAUGAUGUGGUUGCUGUUUCUCCAUCCACCUCUUCGCCAUGCCCAGCAAAGAGUUCAUGCUGUGUUAUGUAUCUCAAGCCAAAAAGUAAUCUCCUCUCUUGUCAUCAUCUCAUAACACUUGUAUUUGUUACAUAAUGAUAAAGAUUAUGAUACUAUGGUUCAAAGGGAGUAAAGUUUCUCUUUCAUUUCGCUCCAACUGAUGUGUCUUUUGUUCUCUGAAGAAUAGAUUACAAAAAGGAUUCACAACUUCCACUCGUUUCCAUCAAGUGGGAGGAAAAAGAUGAAGUGAUCACGAUUAUGUGUAUAUCCACAUAAGAAUAAGAGAGAGAGAGAGAGAGAGAGAGAGAGAGAGAAGCAGCAAGCCAUGCUCCACCACCCACAUGCUGAAGCGAAAAAUCUUAUCUCAGACUUCUGAUAUGCUCUCGAGAUGCGGCCUCCAUACGCCAACCCGCCCACUCCGCCGGCGGCGGUGACAUGCCUUCUUCUCCGAGACGAUCGCUGAGAGGCGGUCGUUGUCAUGGUCCGACUCCUUAGCGGCCACGUCGCCACCAGUUUUCUGGUGCCUCUUCUUCUUUCUCUUUUUGCCUGCAGGGCCUGGGAAUGCUGAUUCGGGAAUCAAGAAGUAGAUAUGGCCCCGCUUCAGGUCCGAGUCCGGCGACACGAUCAAGAUCUUGCGGGUGACUCCCUGGGAGCACGGCUUGCUGAUGAUGUGGUUCGGGUUGGCUGCCAGGAUCUCUCCGGCGGAGACCUGACGGCUGUACUCCUCGACUCGGCCAUUGAGAUGGACGAUUCGGAUGACGUCCAGCGCGCCACAGGGAAGAACGCAAGCCAAACAGCAUCUGAGGCUGUUCCCCAUGUUCUCUGCUUCUUCUGCUGCUUCUCUUCUUGUUGCGAGACUGCUAUAGGUUAUAUAUAGACGCUUAUCGCUGCAACUUCCAAUAAACUUAGUUGCCGCUUUAUAGAAUUGGUUGUCCAAAUUGCUCAUUAUAACCUCAUUUUUUAGCACUAAUAAAAAGGCAGAUUAAAACGAAUCGAAAACGCGUUUCAAUUCAAAAAAAAAUACUGUCAUGCAGGUUAACCCACUCGAGAGCUGCACAUCACUUUGAUGGUCCUGUAGUUGUAUCAUGACAUGAUUGGUCGCGCCUCAAACCUUACAUUUUAUGAGACAGAGGUAGCACCAUCAGACAUUGUCAUACAUAGAAGACUCGGCAAAAUAGCUUCGUUUACGUUGUUCGUAAUUCAGCUAAGCAUAUCAACAAACAACAUGUGAGCCGUCUUCCGACAGCUUGGAGUCCGGGAAUUAUUGGACGCGGUGGUUCCAAACUCGGGUACUCGGGCGCAUAUGGCAGGCGACCGAUUGAGGAAGCUUCGUGGCAUGAGGGGGAAGCGGGGUCACGGGCACCCAUCGUCGCUGUGUCCGCGAAGGACCCGUAUCGGCCGUCCAUCUCGCAGAGGCCCACCUUAUCCGACGGGGCACCCACCGCCGCUGUUGUGUCCGCAGCCCUGGAUGGAUUUCUUUUGCGUACGAAGGGACCGCAAGAAGACGAUGACGGGAGUGUACGAAACUAAGGUGACUUAUUGGGGGUUGGGACGUCUCCAACGAGCAGCAUAAUACACAGUCCAUUGGUUGUCGAAGACGAUGAGCAUCUCUGUCUUUUUGCCCUACAGGGAAACAACUUGUUCUGAUUAGAGAAGAACUUGCAUUAUACGUAGUGGUGUAGCUUAAAGUUAGUUACAUUGAAGAUAAGAGAAAGACUCGAUAAUAAGAAAGAGUGGUACUAUUAGUUUAUAUUUUAUUGUUGUCAAAUGUUUUAUCUUUAAACUAGCGUUCCUAAUCUAUACAUAUGAUCAAUUUUAGUAUUUUCAUAAACCAAACCAACUAAAUAUAAUGACUGAUGGGCGACUUUGCUUCGAUGAAAUCUCUUUAGAUUUUGGGUUGUUAAUUUGGGCAUAGGAAGGAUUGAGUUAAGAAAUCUCUUUCGAUUUUGAUCUUUGUGUAGGUGGUAUCUUGAUGGUUUGAUAUUUUCACAGCAUCUUGACAACUUUGCGCACGUGGGUUUAGACCACGUUAGGCUGACUAAUGACAUCUUACCAUAAUAUUUUUGACGCUAGAAAAAUGUUUUGAUAUAGCAGGAAUAUCUACUUGUUGAUCUUUUCAACAAAUGCUUAAGGGAUUAAACUUUACCCUAAACUUAUAAUACUUUCAUCGAAGGGGGUAGCAAUCAUAAUUUUCACAUAUUGAUGUGUCCACCUCGAUGUAAAUACUAAUGCAAUAUUAACACAUACUUAAAAAGCAGUCUUUUACCGACCUCGAAAGGUAAAAAAUAAUUUAAUUUAUAUUUUAUUUUUAUACAUGAACAUAUAUAUCAUUAUAAUAUUUAUUUUUAUGAUUCACACACAAAAAUAGAAUUUAAACUAUUUACUUUCUAAAAAUAACAUAAUUUAUUAGAAAAUAUUAAUUUUAAUUAUUUCUUUAACCAUACUAUACAAAUAAAGAAGUUAAUAAUUUAAAUAAAAAAAAUAUAUGAUUUAUGAUAAUUAAUUUUAUAUUAAGAAAAAUAAAAUCAUCGAUGAUUAAAUUUCUGAAUCACGUAACAUAAUCUCUAAUUUUUUUCCGUCUCGAGAAACAUAUUCUCUCGCGGCUUGCAUCCCACUGUGACGAACAGAAGUGGGCUUAUUUCUCGGACACAAUCCAUGUAGUAGUAACCCGUGUAAUCCUUCUGCACGGAAUGCAGCCCAUUCAUCUGAGAUUUAACUCUAACCAUGGAGUUCAUUAGUAAUUGGCUCGCGGGAUGCGUCCACGUACGUGUUGGACUUGAUCAACACCGAUAAAAACAGAGUUCCUUCGCUACUUCUCCAAACGGCGUGUCACGAGCAUCCGUCUCGCGAAACGCCAUCCUCUCUCAUCCCAGCCGUCGAAUCGAUCUUUUCCGUGUUCUAAAUACCUCGCUGUCCCUCCUCUCGGUGCCAUCGGACCGCAAUGAGAUUGAGAUUGCGAUUGCCGCCGCCGCUCAGACUGCCACCCGAUCGGACCAAACCUUUAUACUGUAUCCGUGCCUAUUCCUUCUCCUCCUCCUCCUCCUCCGCGGCCGCCGCCGCUGACGACGACGCCGACCUCCGUCGCAGCCUCUCCCUGCUCCUCUCCCCUGCCCCCUUCGAUGCUGCCCUCUGCCGCGAGACCCUCUCUCGCAUCUGCCCUCGCCGCCUCGAACGCCUCCUCCUCGACCUUCGCUCCUCCCUCCACCCCGAGCCCGCCCUUCGCUUCUUCUCCUUCGCCACCGAUCACUGUGGCUUCAUCUUCACCCCCCGCGCCUACGCCCUCAUCCUCCACUCCCUCUUCCGAUCCAACCUCGCAUCUGCGGCCCGGGUUCUCCUACUUCGCAUCCUCGACGCCCGCGCCGCCGUCCCCCUCUUCCUCGAUGACCCGGAUCAUUGGUUCUCCGAGAUCAUCCACGCCCUUGCUGACACCGUCCCCUCAAGCGACUCGCCCGCGAUCGAUCUUCUUGUCCACCUCUGCUGCACCCAGCUUCGUGGCCGAGGGCUCGCCUUAAUUGCCUUCAGAAUCCUCGUCGAUCGGGGGCUCUGCCCGUCUCUGAAGACCUGCAAUUUUCUUUUGGUAUCGCUGGUGAAAUCCAAGAAUUUAGAGGAUGCUCGCAUGGUUUUUGAUCAAAUGCAGCAGUUUGUUGCUCCUGACGUCUACUCGUACACCAUACUGAUUGAUGCCCUCUGCAAGAGACGGAAUGUUGAGGAAGCUAUGGCAUUGUUCUCGGAUAUGGAGAGGUCCGGAAUUUCUGCAAGCGUUGUAACUUACAAUGCUCUGAUUGAUGGACUUUGCAAGAGAAAUAUGUUGAAUGAGGCAUUUGCAUUGAAGGAGAAGAUGAUUAGAAUCUCGAUAAAUCCAAGCAUCGUAACAUUUGGUAUUCUCAUCAAUGGCUUGGUUAAAUUGGAUAGGUUUGGCGAUGUGGAACUUGUCCUAACUGAAAUGGAAGAGAUUGGAAUUCCACCAAGUGUGGUUAUCUAUAAUACAUUGAUAUAUGGGCACUGUAAGAUGGGACGACCCACAGAGGCAUUAAAGUUGAGGGAUGAAAUGAUGGCGAAAGGUAUAGAACCGAACUGUGUUACCUACAAUAUAAUUGUACAAGGCUUGUGCGAUGCAGGGGACAUGAAGCAGGCUGAGUAUAUUCUUGAUGAAAUUCUGUCAAAUGGGAUGGAAGCAAAUGCUGGGCUGUUUGGUUCUAUUAUUUUCUGGCUUGUCACUAAAGAACAAAGAUUAGAUUGUGCGGUGAGGCUACUUGGAGAGAUGCUGCUGAGGAAUUUAAGGCCUAAUGACUCUCUUUUGACGGCUUUGAUUGUUGAGCUCUGUAAGCAAGGGAAGCAUCGAAACGCCAUAGAGAUUUGGUCCAAGAUGUUGGAGAAAGGAUUUGGUGUGAAUAUUACAACUUCCAAUGCAUUGAUUCAUGGGCUUUGUGAGUCAGGAAACAUCAAGGAAGCAAUAGGGUUCCUCAAGUCAAUUCUCGAGAGGGGAAUAGCACCAGAUAGAGUGACAUAUAAUAUCUUGAUAUCUGGAUGCUGCAAAGAAGGGAAAAUCUGCGAGGGGUUUAAACUAUGGGAUGACAUGAUCAAAAGAGGAUUUAAACCAGAUAUUGUUACCUGGAACACUCUAAUACAUGGUUUAUGCCGUUUAGGUAGAAUGGAAGAGGCUAUUGGACUUUUGAAUCAACUAAAGGAUGAAGAUUUGGUUCCGGAUCUUUUUACAUGCAGUAUGAUUAUCGAUGGCUAUUGCAAGGUUAAGGAAAUUGAUAAAGCGAAAAGCUUCCUAAAGGAGAUGGGUACAUGGGGUUUAGAGGCAAAUGUUGUUGUCUACAACUCACUUGUGAGUGGGUUUUGCAAGAAUGGCAAUAUUACUGGGGCUUCUAAUCUUGUCGAUGAAAUGAAAAGUAAUGGUAUAUUACCAAAUUUUGUGACUUAUAGUACCCUUAUGCAUGGCUUCUGCUGCACUGGAUAUUUAGAGGAGGCUAAAAGAAUUUUUGAAUUGAUGAAGGAGAAUGGUUUGGGCUUGAAUGUGGUGACCUAUACUACACUUAUUGCUGGAUACUGUAGGUCAGGUCAAAUGGAUGAAGCAAUCAAGGUCUACAAGGCAAUGUGUGUCGCUGGUGUAACCCCAAACAAGUUCACAUAUACAGUAUUGAUACAAGGGUAUGCUAAAAUGGGGAAUCUUGAAGCAGCGUCUAAACUUCUCGACGAAAUGGUGAACAAUGGUAUUGUUCCUGAUUCUGUCACAUUCAAUGCAUUGAUGUCUGAAUUCUGCAAGGAAGGUAGAGUAGAAGAGGCUCUUAAAAUAUCUGAUCAAAUAUCUCAAAGAGGUCUGGCACUAGAUGAUACUGAUUAUACUACUUUAGUUCUGGAAUAACUUCUUCUAGGCAUCAAAAAGAAAUUGCUUCUCCACCUGAAGGAGGUACUAUCAAGCAACUAUUUUUUAAUAUGUCCUAUUCAUAAAAAUACCUUUUAGGACAGUAAACGUCUUCUCUACCUAUUUCAACUUCUAGAUAUAUCUUACAGGGGAUUGCUUAUAAUGUUGUAGAGAAUGUUGGGGAUAUUGGUGAGAUGAGAUCUGAUCUUUUUGGAUCAUAUGCUGAAUCGUCAUGUGCUGCCCUUGUUGUUGCCUCUAUCUCUUCAUUUGGAGUCAACCAUGAUUUUCCUGCAAUGUGCUAUACUUUGCUUAUUAGCUCCAUGGGCAUCGUAGUUUGUUUAGUAACUACUCUCUUUGCAACCGACGGUUGGUAUUGCAAUUAUCAGUUGGAUUGCUCUCCCUUUGACAUUCACAAUUUUCAGUUUUGGGGUGACCAGAAGCAGGCCAAAAGCUGGUUAGUAUCAUGUUCCUUUUAUUUCAGUAAAUGGCAAGUUUUUAAUCUAAUCGUCAGAGUAGUUUAGGGAGUUAUUUUAUGUGUUGCAAUUGGAUUAUGGGCUGACUUCGUUAUUGGGUUUGUUACCGAAUACUAUACAAGAAAUGCAUAUGGGUAAGAAAUUGGUUUUUCUAUUCUGCUUAACAUGAGCUACCAUGAUCUGGUUUUUAUAUAUUGUGUCCUUUCCUUACUACUUAUUUCUCAGUACUGUACAAGAUGGCGCUGAUUCUUGCCGGACUGGAGCCACUACUAGUGUCAUUUUUGGACUGGCUUUAGGAUACAAGUCUGUCAUUAUCCCAAUUUUUUCCACUGCUGUCAGUAUAUUUGUUAGAUUUAGUCUUGCUGCCAUCUAUGGUAUUGCUGUUGCUGCUUUAGGCAUGCUGAGCAGUAUUGCUACUGGUCCGGCCAUUGAUGCCUAUGGGCCCACCAGUGACAAUAUUGCUGGAAGCAUUGCUCAGAUGGAUGGAACGAGCCACAGGUUUCAGGAGAUAACAGAUACACUUGAUACUGCAGGCAACACCACCGCAGCCCUAGGAAGGGUAUCAUAAUAUUAUUGCUCAAGUAGUUUUCUGCAUUCAAUUAACUGUGUUAGAUCUGCUUGAAGCUUGGGGAGGUAACCUGUGCCUAGGUGCUAGUGACAAGAACAACCUUGGUAUGAUGUAGAUUUAUUUUAUUUUAGAUGGGUUGGUGCACAUUCAUGCUAUCUGGUUUGAAUAUGAUGUUUGCAUCUAUAUUUUAGAUUUUUUUUGUUUUUUUGUAACUGCUUAUGCAGAUAGUAGCUUUGGUAAAACUGCUACCCACAAGUUUCAGUGCUUUUUGUAUUAGCUUUUUUGCCAUGUAGAACGCUAAUUGGGAAAAUAUUUUCAGAAGAAGCCACUUUUCCAAAAUUUAAAGUAAGGCUAUUUGCCAAAAGUCAAUCUAUAUUUAGAAGAGGUCAUCUGUUCCAGGGAUGGUGCUUGUACUUUUUCUGUUGAUAUUCUAGCUUUAUCUAUUGGUUGCAUGUCACAAAAGUUGUGUUGUUGCAAAUGCAAUUGUUUGAUUGUCAUUAUUGCUUGCUAUUAAGAUUAUACUCGGAUUGUUACUGCUGUUCUCUAUGUUUUCAUUCAUCUUGAGUCUUGUUUGUAAUUUUCAUUCAUAUUUUUAUGUCUUUUCCCAGGGCUUUGCAAUUGAUUCAGCUGCCUUGGUCUCUCUCGCAGUCAAGCAGCUAUUUCCACUGUGGAUGUCUGACACCAAAGGUGUUCAUUGGGUUGAUUGUUGGUGCGAUGCUUCCUUACUGGUUCUCAGCCAUGACCAUGAAGAGUGUCGGCAGUGCAGCUCUGAAGAGGGUGGAGGAGGUCUGAAGGCACUAACUGAGGCUUAUGGAUGGUACUGCUAAACAUGAUUAUGCCACCUGUGUCAAGAUUUCCACUGAUGCCUCAAUCAAAGAGAUGAUUAUCCAGGUGCUCUGGUGAUGCUUCCACCCCUGAUCAUUGGAAUUUUGUGUCAUGGAAACCCUAUCUGGUGUUCUUGCUGGGUCUCUUGUUUCUGGUGUUCAGGUAAGUAAGAAUUUGCUUGCUGAUGUCACCAACAGAAUUUGUGACUCAAGGUAAUGGUCGUUCUUUGUCACAGAUUGUUAUCUGAUCCUCAUCUAAUACUGGUGGUGCAUGGGACAAUGCCAAGUACAUCGAGGUAAAGCUACUCUUCCUUUUUCAUGUUUUCUUUACAUGCUACUGUGCUCCUGAGGCCUGUUUCUUCCGUACAUUUAUGACCCUUGCCUAUUCAAAAGAAUGGUAAAUUUCAAGAUAACAAAAUUGUGCUUGUUUAAACUUGGUUUACAUGAGGUUAGGUGUCUUAAAUUGCUCAUAGUUCCACAUCAGAAUCUGUAGCUACCUCACGCAAUUAUUCAAACUGCUCAUCUAAUAUGGCGUUGAUAGGCUGGGGCAUCAGACCAUGCAAGGAGCCUUGGCCCUAAGGAAUCCGUUCCUCACAUGGCUGCUGUUAUUUGUGACACCAUCGGGGACCCUCUCAAGGAUACGUCCGGGUCGUCACCUAUCAAACUAAUGGUUGUGGAAUUUCUGGUGUUGGCACCAUUCUUUGCAACUCAAGGAAGUCUCUUGUUCAAGAUCUAACUAAUGAGUAAGCUCGGGGAUGUUUGUUCUUUACACUGCUCAAAUCUCGAUCGGUUUCAAUAUUUGAUCAGUGAUUGCAACUUGUUAUUUAUCUUUCUUUUGCUUUUCCCAUCAUAGUUUCUCUUUAUCGUUAUUAGUUGAAAUUGUAGAUAUAGGUCAGCGUCCAUCGACCCAUUGUGGGCAAGGAGGCUGACAAAAUUUUCUUAUGUUUGAAGAUGACAAUUAUUGUGGUGAAUUGACUGUUGUCAUUCUUAAGAGUUUCGUGUCAGAAUAUCCACAGUGGAAACAGCUGGCUCUCCUGCAUGAUCUACUAAUAAUUUACUUAUCAAAUGAACACCUUACUAUGCAUGUGUUAGAGGGAAGAUUGAGUACGUUGAUUCAUCCUAACCUCGUGGGAGUUUCGUACAUUUCUAGUUCAUUUGGAGAUCUUGAUUUGUGUUAAUCAUGAUUUUAAAUAAAAUAAACGUCUCUAAUUUCAGCUUUAAUCCUUGGCAAGUUCUUCAUUAGUUAGACAAAUUUGAUUGCAUAGGGUUUUGUAAAUCUGAAUAUCGUUAACAAUAACUUUAUUUUGAUUAACGUUAAUUUUUAAAUCACUAUUCACUAUAAUUUUAUCUUUUGUAGGAAAGAAAAAGAAAUCUGAUGUGGGGUUAAAUACCAUUUAUUUCUUGAUGUUGCUACUUUGUGAAAAAAAAGGGCAUGUGCUGUGGAGACCUCCGAAUGUGAUAGUUAGAAGAUGUGAAAUGAUUAAUAUUAGUGGUAUGAGACGAGAUCGAAGAAGACCUAAAAAGACUUUAAUAAAAACUAUCAAUAAAUAUUUAAUUAUUCUAAACUUAAAUAAACAUGGCUUUUUAUAGAUCUCAAUUGCGACAAAAGAUCUAUGUAGCUGAUCCCAAAUAGUUGAGAUUUACAACUUUGUUAUUAUUGUUAUUGUUACUUUGUGAAAGUAGUGCUGCAAGACUAUAGGACUAAAGCCUUUUUUUUUUGUUAAGGUUAAAUAUUUACCAUUCACUUCAAUUAAGGUUUCCUUCAUUUAAUUCACUUAUUAUUUUAUCAAACAUUCUCAGAAAAAAACCACAACCUAUUCGAUGGCCGACUCUGACAAGGCAGCUGUGGUUGUGUAACAGCCUACUCCAGCGGUUGACUAGACAAGGUGGCCGUGGUUGUCGAUGGUGCGGCAGCCAUUGCAGUGAGAGAUGAGGCUUUUGUGUGUGCUGUGCUACUCUAGAUCGGUGGCCACCUAAGAAAUGUGACUAUGGAUCAUGCUGCUGGGGGUUGGGUUCCAUGCUCUAUCUGGUGAGGUUUUGACUACCUUCGGAUCUGGACUGUGUCAACCAUGAAAUGUGACUAUGGGACAUGCAUGUGAUCAUGCAGUGGAUUGAGGCUUUGAGGAUAUUGGUGGUAGAGUACAUGAUCAUUUUGAGGGAUUUCCUCAAGGGUUUAACAAAUAGGGGGGCCGUGAAUUGUAUAUUCUUGCUUUAUAUCUCUUGACCUUCACAAAUAUUUCUUACAUUUCUUAUCUAAAGUUUGGAUCUGUUUUUUUUUUGUAACUCUGCUGUUACAUUAGGGUUCAGACAACAAGCCUGUUAGAAAUCUGUCAUAUUACUUUAUUAGAAACAUGUCUGAACCAAUGAGUGGCAAUGGAAAAACUGUGGAUAAUUAGCAGUCUUAAAUCUUUGUUAGAUGACAAAAAAUGAUAUUGUCUUUAAGCCAAAAAAUGAUUCACAAGGAAACUCGAUCGAUUGUUAACUGUAGAUAUGACAAAAAACAUGAAUAAUUAGCAGUCUUGAGUCUUUGUUAGAUGAAAAUGAUCUAAAUAUUUGUGGAUCGAUCACAAGGAAACUCUGUUCAUUUGUCUUAGUUUGAUUUGAUACCUAAAGUUGAAUACAGCAUUGAUUCAUACAUCAUGAUUGACAGAGGUGUUUCAUCUUUUCCUCCAUGCAGAAUCUUUGCAACCCCAUCUUGUUGAGUGCAGUAAAAGGUGAACCUUUUUACUUGUGAAGAAUAACUGCCUUCUUGAGGAUGAAUGAUUCUAAUGUUCUUUUCCCCUGUUUUGGUAUCAUCUUCUUCCUCUUUUACAGCAUUUUCUCUGCUGAAACUUCGCAUCGGGGGUUCCUUGCAAGAGAAGGUCAUAUUCAACACAGGAAAUCCUCAGCAAUCAUGUGUGUCAUUCCUCAAGAAUACUUCUGAGAUGUUUGGUUUCUCUCAAGGAUGCUUACCCAUGCCCAGAUGGUUGAGCUGAAUGAGUUCUUCAAGACAGCAGGGUAGAAAUCUUCUCUAGCAAGUUCAAAUUUUACUGUUGAUGAAUAAUUUCUCUCUGAGACCACUCAGAAACUUCAUCCUAUCUUUUGCUCACACAUUAUUUUUGGGUUGAAUGCACUCGAUGGAAAAGUUCCUCUGAGUGAUGGUUCACUAGGACCUUGGAACAACACCAAUGCCACUUCUCUCAUUGGUAUACAAACAAUAAGGGUUGCACCAUCUGUUGUUGGGAGCUUGGUAAGUCCACCUUGAUCAAGAAUUGCAGGUUCUAAAAAGACUGGAACUUGUUCACAUCAUUGCUUAAUGCUUGAAAUGUUGAAAGAGAUGUCAACACUUGUUAACAUCAUCAUUUGGAACUUAACAACCACUGAAUAGUCUAUCUUCAUCGAUCGGCACAGAACUUGCUUCAAGAUUUUACUCUAGUAGGGAUGAAGGUUCGGAUUUUUUGUCUGUCUCAGGCAAUGAACCAAGUGGAUCUGGAGAUGGAGCUACAAUUGGUGCAGACCAGUAUGCUGCAGAUGCUAUAGGAAUAUUUAAAGAAGGAUUGGCAUCAAAGUGACCUGCAGCUCUCGAGUGGGUUAAAUUGCAUAACUCUAUGGAUUAAUAAUUUUCAUACCAGUAUUUCCUAGAUAUCAUUGACCCGACAUACACUUACUAAAUAUUUUGGAUGUCAUUGACUUGACUAUUUCAUAGGGUCAUUUAUCACAUGGACAUCCUAAGAUCACAUUAUUGUCCCAAAAGGUACCUUGCGAUUUACAUUCUCAGUUCUCGAAUAUAAUUGUAGUUUACUUUACUACGAAUGUGUAGAUCUUUUAUCACAAUAUAGUAGUAGUAGUUUACUACGAAUGUUAGUCCUUUAUUAUAAUCAUUUCUUCAUCUUCUAUCUUAGACCAUAUGACAUUGUGUCGAGUUUUUGCUCCUUAAAUGUAACUCGUAUCAGUAAUGUGUUUUGUAUACUGGUUACCUGUUUGUGUAUAUUUAAGUUCCUCCUUUGGCCUCUGAUAGCUGUCUGCUUGCUGCAGAUGUCAUCUUCAAUGAAUUCAAUAUCUCUGUUAAUAGAGUUGGGUGCAAUUCACAUUGUCGAUGUCAAAUUUCUGUCAUUCGAACACGUAGAAGAAGUUCACUGGUGAACUAGAAAACUAAUUGCAUAGCCUAACAAAGGGCUUUCUUUAGAGAUCUUUUAGAGAAAAGAUCUCCCAUGCAGCAGGAAAAGACUGGCUCAAGUUUUGGCCUUGAGUGACUGAAAAUUAACGAUGACCAUGACCUACUUAAGAUUUGUAUUUACAUGACACAGCUGCUGCUAUCGUGACCUAAAGCUCAAACGAAUCAAUGAAUUCAAAAGAUCCUACUGAGCUAAUCAUUGCUUGCGGAUGCAGCGGCAAUGGAGCCACCAUCCUCGCUGGAUCCUGUAGCGCCGGCAGCGUCCGGUCUGAUCUCAUCCAGUUGCUGCAGGAUUUGCUGAACCUCCGGCCUGGCCGUCGGCGCCGGGUCGACGCAGUGCAGGGCCAACUUCAAGGUGUUCAGUAGCUCAUCCCCGGCCGCCGUCCCCGCCGCAUCCCUCAUCAGUUCCAGGUCGAACACCUCAUUGGUCCACUCCUCUUUGACUAUCGAGGCCACCCAGUGCGGCAAGUCCAUGCCGUUCAUCAAGUCCGCAGGCGAUUUACCCGUGAGGAGCUCGAGCAUGACGACGCCGAGGCUGUAGACGUCGGUCUUGGUAUUGGCCUUCUUGAGCUUGGACAGCUCCGGGGCUCGGUAGCCGAGCGCGCCUGCGGUGGCAAUCACAUUGGAGCUGGCAGCACUAGUCAUCAAGGACGAGAGGCCGAAAUCAGAUAUCUUAGCGUUGUCGUCGUCGUCAAGCAGAACGUUGCUGCUUGUCAGGUUGCCAUGGAUCAUGUUCACUUCGUUGUGAAGGUAGAGUAGGCCCCGAGUUACCCCCUUGGCUAUGUUCAUCCUUGUCGCCCAAUCUAUCGGCGUCUCAGGUCCCCGAGCUGUGUCAGCAGACAAGAAGAAGUUAUAGAAUCGUAUUGCUGUUCAUCAAUGAGAAGGAAGCUGUGGGUGUGGAUGCGAGGGACUCUGCGGAAGUUACCAUGUAGAAAAGCUGCAAGGUUUCCCUUGGGCAUGAAAUCAAAGACCAGAAGCUUCUCUCCUUUGGGGCCUAAAUAGUAAGCUCGCAGCGCCAAUAGAUUGUGAUGCCGGAUUCUGCCAAGCUCACACGCCUCCGUCUCGAAUUCCUUUUGGCUCUUGGUGAUCUUCUCUCUCAGUCUCUUCACUGCAACUUGGUUCCCGUCCUCCAGUGUGGCCUUGUACACGGUCCCGUACGUGCUCUUCCCCAUGAUCUCCGCCGUCGCACACAGGAGGUCAUCGGCGGCGAAUGCCAACGGUCCCUCGAAGUGUACCAGCUUUCCCCCGGCCUCCCCGCCGGACUCCGCUUCAGCUCCCGUGGCAGGCCCGGGCUUUUCCUCUCUUCCGGUGGCAGAAGCGCCGCCAUCAGUCUUCUUCCCCAAGGAACUCCUUUUCCUCAUCAGGCAGCAGAGCAGAACACAGCAGAGCACAAAAAGCAGCACCGCCAGCACUGCCCCUGCAACUAUGAGAACGAUCGCCUUGGUGCUCAGUUUAGCAUGACGUCGCCUUGUAGGGAUCAACGGAGGAGACAGAGUCGGGGCAGGGGAAGAAGGACAAGGGACGGUAAUGCUGUACCCACACAGCUGAAUGUUUCCCAUGAAGGAGCUCGAAUUAAACUUGUGGGAGAGGAGAAGUGGCACUCGACCUGAUAAGUUGUUGUCGGACACAUCGAACGAAGUCAGACCAGUCAGGUGCACCAAAGUGGCCGGUAUCUCUCCGGUGAGGUUGUUCUCCGACAGGUCUAGCUGCGAUAGACCAGAGAUGUUUCCUAGUGUCGCCGGUAUCGCGCCACUUAACUGGUUCCUCUUAAGCGACAGCAUCGACAGAUUCUUGAGUCCAUCGAUGUUGUCGGGGAUGUGGCCGUCGAUUUUGUUGCCCUCCAGGCUUAAUUCAACCAAGGACGACAAGUUGCAGAUGGUAACAGGAAGGCUCCCUCCUAAAUCGUUAUGUGAAAGAUCUAACGUUUGGAGCAGCGACAGUUUACCGAUCUCUUCGGGUAUGCUUCCGUUAAGCCUAUUGUUGCUAAGUGUGAUCUCUUUGAGCAUUUGUAGUCCACUGAGAGAUGGCGGAAGAUUCCCGCUGAUGGAGUUGUAGUCGAGAUUUAAGGUCUGUAAUUGGUAGACUUGGCUGCUACCACCUCCGAUGGCCCAUGUGUCGGGAAUGGGUCCGGAGACAUUGUUGUGCUGAAGGGAGAAAAAGGUAAGCGAGGCGGAGCGGGUAAUGCUACGGGGGAUGGCACCGGAGAGAUUGUUAUGGCUAAGGUUAAGCCUAUACAGCUUAGUAGCGUUUGCAAUGGAAGAAGGAAUGCUACCCGCAAACGAGUUGUUGCUGAGAUCGAUGGUCCGGAGGAUGGGGCAGUUGCCGAUGGAUGGCGGGAUGGCACCCGAGAAGCGAUUGUUGAAGAGGUAGAGGCCUCUGAGUUGAGGUAAGAAGCCAAUGGCCGAAGGGAUCUGACCGCCGAUGGAGUUGUCGUGGAGGCUCAGCUUGCGCAAGGCGGCGAGCUGGCUGAUCUUCUCGGUGAUUCGCCCGCCGAGGCCCCGCCACGGGAGCUGGAUGGCGAUGACCUUGCCCUUGACGCACUUGAUCCCGACCCAGGCGCCGGAGCAAGCGUCGAGGCCGGUGUCGUUCCAGCCGCGGAGGAGCCCCCGGGGGUCGUCCAGGGCGUGCUUGAGCGCCUGGAGGCCUUGGUAGUCGGCCUGGCUGAUGAUUAUCCCGUCCCAGGACUGGCUCGAAGCUGAGCUCGCAUGAGCCAGCAGCGACAACAUCACGAUGUGAAGCGGCAGAAGCAGGAGGAGACUACCCCCGGUUGCAGAUUGCCGAGAUGGGGCUCUCUCGGACUCGCACAUCUCCAUAUGCUCUUGCAUUGUGUGCUGGCAUCCUCCGAUCCUCCUCUUCAUUCGCAUGCAAGUUGGAUGGGAGUAGGAAGACAGACCCCCGAACGAGAGAGAACGGAGGAGGAGGAGGCUGGGAAUUGGGCAGGGAACUGAGAGAUAUCUUGCUUGGAAUAUAGGAUGGUAUUAUUUCUCGAGGCUAACGGCUAGUUUGCUUUUCCUUUCUGUUCUCUUUUGGGGCCGUAGAGCGAUGGGGUGUCGGCGACUAGGAUUCUGGGAGAGCUAUUAUUGAGGGCGGGCGAUCAUCGGCCAGAGGGAGAUCCCACCAUGUCCACAACGGCUACCUUAUUUGAAUGGGUCCAUGGCGAAUCAACAAUUCAUCGGCCUUCCUCGUGCAGGGCGUCGCGCAGUACAGUGAUACGACCACCAGAAUAGCUUACGUGUGUGUCCGCACCUGUUGACCAAACCCACAGGGUUAUGAUGACAGCUGACUUAUAUAAGUCGAUAAAGGCGAAUCUUUUGAGACUCGAGAGUUGGUCGAAAAGGAAUCUUUUGAGGCUCGAGCACGUAUCGACAUGCUCUGAUUCAUAAUUUAGCUGCCGGAAUGGUGGGGCCAUUGUUUGCAGUACUAAUAUACCACACUACGUUGCAGGGUUGGCCUUUGAGAUUCACAUAAACUGAUUUCGAAUUCUCAUGAUGCUAAUAGUUGGAAAAGAGAAAUCCAAAAUCUAUGCUCGAAGGUAUCCAAUUGUUACACAAGUGAUAGAUCAUCAAAGUGUUAUAUACACCAUCAUUUACUGUAAUAUAUAUAUAUAUAUAUAUAUAUAUAACCUCAUUUUAAUUUAAUUUAUUUAUUUAUUCUAACUGCAAUAAUCAAUUAUUGUGAUACCGAAACUUAGCACAAAAGAUUCGCGUUUCCCGACUCGUAAUCCGCAACGGCCGCUCCCCCAAAUCGGAGGACCAUAUAUAUAUAUAUAUAUAUAUAUAUAUAUAUAUAACUGCGCCCCUUUGCAUCCACCGCCCAUCGUUUUCGGUUCCCUCUCCCACUCUUCGAUCCUUCUGAAUACUCGGCGAUCUCCUUCGAUGGCGAGAUGGUAGGAGCUCCAACGAUACGGCGAUUCUCUCGCUGGCUACCGGAUCCUCGUCGCCGGCUCCGUCGUUUCCUGUAACGCGCCGGGGAGCGGCAACACCUUGCAGCGCCAGGUGAGACGUCAACGGUGCCCCUGUUCUCAGCGUUUGAGUUGUGUCCCAUCUUGUGGUGUUAUCGAUGUCUACAUGAUGAUCAGACAUCGUUGGAGACGUUUUGGUGCGUGAGGGUAUGGUAGGGUCAUGGCAGGGCGAUGAUCUGAUCCCUUUUUUCUCUAGGGUUCUCGGAUGAAUUAAAUUGCGUGGUCUUGUUUCCACGUUUGAUUUGAACUUUACAGAUAUCAAACUAGAUUUAUUUGAUUCCAUGUUCUUGUUUCUCUAGAUUUGUUUGAAGGGUGGAGAUUCCGAUGAAAGAGAUAAGAGAAUUAAGAAUCAUGGUUCUCAGAUUGCAAACAAGAUUUACCUACCAUACUGAAAAAAAGUAGAGAAUUAUGGUGAUUGUUACAUGCUCUGCAAUCUUAACAAUGUCAUGAAUCAUGGCAUAUGCACCUCAAACUAUACCAUGGACCAUGGUCUAAAUCCUCCAAAACUAACUGAACUUGCACCUUAAGAAAUAGUUUGGUAUGAGAAAAAAAUGAAAAUAAUGCUUUACAGUUGUAUCUUUGAAACAAAACUGAACUGUAAACCAUACUUAUAACUAUUUAUGUUCUAUGUUUUUUUUUUUUUUUUACUAUAACCAUUUCCUGCAAACAUAAGUUUGGGCAUUUUAUUUGUUCAUUUGCUUCAAUAUUCUCAAAUCUCUAUGAUUUUGCGAGAAAGCGAGUAUUUCAGUAGAAACUUGCACUAUAAAUUGAAUUAUCAUAUGUGAAGCUAUAUAAAUACAGAUUAUGAGGGAAUUUUCUUCUGGAGUUAAUAGUGCUAUAUAAGCAGACCAAACUAGCAUGUGCACUGAAUACUCCAAUUUAAUAUAUUGUUUGUAUUUCGUAUUUGCACUCAAGGAUGGGAAAAGAUUAUGCUAGAAGCUUGAAGUUGUUUUUUGAAUGUAAUUAGAUUAGGUUUCCAAAUUUCUUGAUGUGUGAUAACACGAAAUUGGGGCUAAAUCUUAAUUAUUUUUUUUCAAAGCUAAUCUUGUUAGGAUAAAAACUGUUUGCCCUUUAAUUGAUUUCAGAGACAGAAAAACAUUCGCUUGUAAUAGAGAUGAUCUAGAUGACUUUGAAGAUGAUGAUGAUUACUUUAAAAAUAUAUAUAGUUUCCUUUGGUGUAUGCCAUCUUGGUCAUUAGGAUGAAACUGUGCUGCCUAAUAAAUCAAGCUUCGAAGACUUUCAGUGAACCGGUUGAUUUGAGAAACCAAGUUUGCAGUUACUAUCAGAUAGAACUCUUUAUGUUCAAAUCAGUACCCAGCUGAAACAGUGGGGAGAUUCUCAGCAAGAACAGACCAAAGCUUACAUGUUUCACCCUAUAUUCAGUGAUUUUUUAUCAGUUUUAUCUUUGAGAAUUAAAUCCUACUCUUUUAGUUUCACUGAUUAGAUUCUUAGUGUCUUGCUGUCUCUUUUAGUUUCAGGCACUACUACUCUUCAAACUGACCUUUAGUGCUUAGUCCACUGGGACCUGAAGGUUCUUGGUGAUCCACUGUGGCCAUAGUUCUAGAUUCCUAUUGCUCUGUUGAUUUUUGACCAUUUGAGACCAAAGUGCAUUAACAGCACUAUCCUUUUAUAACUUUUUUUACUUUUAACUCAUUCAAAUCAAAUAUCUAAUAUUAAUGAGUAUUAAUAUUAACGAAUAUUCUAACUAAUCAUGAUUAACAUAUAUAACAGGUCAGACACCAUGUCAAUCCAAAAUUUUAGCUAUUAGGUUGUUGACAUAUAUAACUCGACUAUUUCAAUAUUUAGCUUCCAUCUUUUCUUCUCGUACAAUAUAUCUAACAAAUGGUUCUGAUUUUUCUAAGGAUUCUGAUAUAGAGUUGGGACCUGUUCAUUAGUUACAUGUACAUAUAUGUUAUAUUGCACCUUUUUUAUGUUCAUCUCUUGAAUUAUGAAAGUAAGAAAAUACUGAGGUUUUGGGCUGCUUGCCUACUCUUGUGUUCCAGGAAAGAAGCAAUCACAACAUCAAGUAGCGAUCUUACCUGACUAAAUGAGAAUACGUUGGCUUGGGCUAUUUGCCCACCAAGGGAUCACAACAAAAGGAGGUAUUCUUGCUAUCGAGGUCAGGACUCCCAGGUAAGAAAUGUUUGGUGACUUCUUACUUGAGAUAUGCUGUUGAUUGAAUUUUGAGAAAGUUAGGUUGUAAACUAUUUAUCAAGACAAUUUUAUAUAAAUUAUGAUAAAAAGGAAACAUAAGUAGCGAUCUUACCUGACUCAAUGAGAAUACGUUGGCUUGGGCUAUUUGCCCACAAGGGAUCACAACAAAAGGAGGUAUUCUUGCUAUCGAGGUUAGGACUCUCAGGUAAGAAAUGUUUGGUAACAUCUUACUUGAGAUAUGCUGUUGAUUGAAUUUUGAGAAAAUUAGGUUGUAAACUAUUUAUCAAGACAAUUUUAUAUAAAUUAUGAUAAAAAGGACACCUAAACACAAUUUCCACAUUCUUAUCGUUCUUUUCCUUUCAUUCUUGGUGGUUCCAAUCAUAAUAAUGGUAUGUUUCUUUGAUUCGUGUAUUCUACUGCCCUUCCCUUGAUGGCUUAAUUCCAGUUUCACAGUCGUCGUGACAGUUCAACCACAAAAUUUUUACAUGCUGCCUUUAUUAUUGGGAUCCAUGUGUUGAUAGUGAAAUGACUGCCGUUCGUUAAUGCACAUGAUGUACUGCCAUAUCGGCAAUAGCAGGAGAUAUAAUACAGCUGUCUUUGUUUUCGUUCAGGUGGCUGCCAAUUUCUCUGCUGCUACUGAUUUCAAGCUUAUGCAUCUCGUGACCUGCGGAGCCAUGCUUGGUUCUGUACCGCAACUUUUUUCUAACGCCUUUAACUGGUAUUCUUCUUUUAGCUUUGGCGACUAACUCGGGCCCCUUUUGGGGUUACUUCUGCUUUCUUUUUUUAGUUUACUUCUGUUUUUGUUGUUUUAACGAAUAGGACCAAUUUUGCUGACGAUUUGAUGUUCUUUGUCUUCUUUUAAAUCGUCAACAGGUCGAAGGAGAGAAAUCAUUCGAUCAUCCAGCAGAGAUUAUUGGCCACCGAGGGGUAAGUCUUUAAUAAUUUCGAAGCCAAAGUUUUUACUUUUUAGAAUUCCUUGAAACAAUGAAUUUACCAAACAUGGGUCUUACAUCGGUUUUCCAUUUUCUAGGUGUGUGUAUAAUCUCUCAAGUUCUUAGUUGCAUUCCCCUAUCUUUUUUAUUGAAACUAUUACUAGGCCUUGAUCAGUCAAGUUCAUAGGUCUAGGGUUUGACUUCGGACAUGAGCUCGAAGGAACUAAUUUUGAAAAAUAAAAUAAAAAUCACUAAACCAAACCCAAACUCUUAAGGGUGUUCGUCAGCCGACCUGGUCAAGAAUCGUGACUAACAGAAUCAACCAUGGUAUGGUUUCAAAUUUGAAAUCUACCAUGUAAUUUUGACCUGGAACUUGGUGGUAGAAAGCAGAAGCAUGAUCUUAAUGCACUCAUACGUAAAUUGAAAUGUCAUAAAUUUUUGCAUAAAACAUGAUGGAGUACAAGUAAUUAUAUACUUGACAAGGAAAGGAAUGCAAUUUUCAGAUUUUUGCAUGAACAAGAUUUAAAACAUCUGGCCGAUCAUCGUGUGCUGUAAAGGCCUUAUGGUCUCGAUAGGGUGCAUAAAAAAUUUUCAAUCGGAAUAUGGCAUGAUCUCGAAAUUGUUCCUCAAAAUCUGUGGAAUUUCUCGAGUGCUAGAAACAUCUAAAUCAUAUUUUAAGGUGAAAAGUAACCUCAGCGCCGUGACUUGCUGGUCACCUUGCGACCAGCCUGACUCAUCCUUUUUGGUAUUUUCCCGUCUUUUUACUCUAUCUUGUAGUGAUUUAGAAGCAACCAACGGAAAGAAAACCCAAGUUGGCUUUCCUUUGUAGACAUAAAGCAGAUUGUUACAUUAAGAAAAGCUACAAGUACCGGAUAUGUAAUUACACUGUAGAACUGGAUGAUUCAAACUAAGGGAGAGAGAGAGGUGUUGUAUAUAUAAGAUAUUCCUUUCAUUUGUAUGAAAAUAGACUGAUAAAGUCGUUAGUAGGUGGUAAACUUGCCAUGAUAAAAUAAGUGAGAGCCACUGACAUGCUUCAAAAAGAAACGAGUCACAAGUAUAUGCUUCGGAAUGGUGCAACUGUUUUGCUUAUUGGAAGUUGGAAAGAGGUGUUAGGAGAGUUCUACAGAGAUAAUGAUGUAUGCCUCUGCUACCAGUGAUGUGAGAUCAAAUCAACUUCGACUGGCAGAUAUAAAGUAGAAAAACAGAACGAGAAUAUUACCCAUCCAUCAGUUUCCUCGUGGAGUAGGAAGAACCCAUGAAACUCAGGAUAGAUAGCGCCUCUAGACAAACAGAACACAAGUUCCUACUUACCCAUGGCGCUAUCCCUCCUGAGCUUUACAGAUUCUUCCAUACUUUUGCCAUGCUGGUGUGCCAAAACUACAAAUUAUUGUAGUAGCCCAUACUAGCUAGUUAUGAAGAAAGGGAAGAAAAGUCUGUGUUACAAAAGAAAGGCCAGGAAGAAACAUCUUCAAGGAGGAGAGGAAGUAGAAGAAGAUAGAGAGUUGCCUAAACAAAUGGAUAGAUGAGAUGAGAUGAGGAAACCUUCGGUGCACUGGGUCUUAUUUAUAGUUGGGCUCUUGGAUGGAUGGUGGGUUGUAUGUGUGGAUUUAGGAGGUGAAGACAAGAGUCACAGGUCUGGAUUCUCGGAGGGCGAAAACCCUUGACUUUUCAAAUAACAAAAGCCUUGACUUAAUAAAAAAAAAAGUAGAAAAGGG
rnacentral:lncRNA from 1 species